UGUGUUUUUUGUUUUGUUUUGUUUUGUUUUUUACUUAAUAGGCGAGAUAAGGUAAAGGUUAGAUGUUUUAUUGAAGUAAGCAUGGGUCAAUGGCAAGUUGAGAAAAAUACCCAUCUCUUCAGGUAUUUAAAAGGUGUUUCAACUCUUAUCUGCAGUAGUGGUUAACACCAAAAAUGCAGCUUAUGACAGUAAUGCUUUUGAAACUCCUGACUUUUUUCUUUACACUUUAGAGAGCUGAGGAAAGCUACACGUCACAUAAGAAAAGGAUGAAUUCAGUGAUUGAAUUCAAUCAUUCAAGGCUGAAGAGGAGCCAGAAAGACUUAUUCCCCAGUAAGCUACAACACCGUUGAGACUGACACUGUUUUAACUGCAUAUCUGAGAGCUGCUGGUGGGACAAAUGGAUCAUGGUGUGGUUUUUAUGCUUUCUUUUGUUGGUUUAUGGAUUUGUUCUGGAGCAAAGCAACCCGUACUGAAAUUAUUAGUCCAACAGAGAGCACCAAAUAGCUCUGAGAGAUCAGUUUCAGGAAGAUUAAAAACAUAGCAAUAUUUCAUCACCUAUCGAGUACCACGUAAGCUGUGUGUAGGAUGACUUUUUGAGCUGAAGACUUCAAACCGGAAAAGCAGAAUACUUUUAGAUACUACCUUCUGUAAAUACAGCCAUGCAGAAGACAAGUAAGUAGGUGAAGUUAAUUUCGGAUUCUUUUUAACCAAUUUUACACUGAUAUAGUUCAAGGUAGAAAUGAUCUUUAAAGUCAGCCUUAUCCUCAUUAUGCGUUUGUAUAUAAUUCAAAUUAAAAAGACUAAAUAUAAUGAAACUACUGUUUUCUACACUGAUUGCUAAUUCCAAAUUGUUCUAUAACAUUUUAUUGGGAUAACUAAAUAGCUGAAAGUUAACUUCUAUAAGUGUAUGAAAACGGUUUCUGCAACAUGAAGAGGGAUGGGCUAGAAAGAUCUAAAAUAUUACAGAAAAAGAUUCAGAAAG
rnacentral:lncRNA from 1 species